rnacentral:misc_RNA from 1 species
UUUCCGUAGGUGAACCUGCGGAAGGAUCAUUAUUGUAUCACCAAGGUGCGAGGGCUGUCGCUGACCCGAAAGGACGUGCACGCCCGAGUGACUUCACACACAUCCAUCUCACCCCUAUGUGCACCACCGCGUGGGUCCCCCUUUGGCUUAUUCGGAGGGGGGCUUACGUUUUCACACAAACUUUGUAUGCAGUGUAGAAUGUAUUUUUUGUUUUUGCGAUCACGCAAUCAAUACAACUUUCAACAACGGAUCUCUUGGCUCUC